GCCAACAGGCGAUGGCUCGCAUGCCAUUUCCGGCACGUGUGCCAUAGGUUUGCCAUCAUGGUUUUAGAGUUUAACUCCUAGAUAACCAAAGAAAAGUUUCUUCAUUUGCUACGAAGUCACUUUUCUAAGAGAGUUUCUAUGACCCUGGGUCAUUGAUUUUUUUUUGAAGAUCAUUGAUUUUCACCCACCAGCAAAUUAUAGUUAGAUAUUGGAACAACAUCUCUACAUGACAACCAGAGUUUCUGGGAUCCUCUGCAUUCCUCUUUACUGUGAAUUCUAUACAGAGCCAAGAAGUCCGAAGCCAGGAUUCUUGGCUUCCUUUUUUUGGGAAGGCGGAACCUGAAUAUACCAUGCAGCUUUGUUUACAAGUAAAGCCUUUGAUAUCGUUUCGAGGCACAAGGAGGCAGCAGAAGACUCCUGAUGCUAUCACAUAUAGACCAGGAAGAAGGUGGCUUCGGGAAGGCAACGUUGGACUUGAUGAAUAGUAGUAUCAAUAAAAUCCUCCUGCCUUUAGCUGAAACAAACCAAUUCCUGUGUUUAGUUCUUGAUGUGAAAUGGCACCUCAGACUGGAACUCUGGAAUAUUGUGCUAUAGAGAGAGGUUCAUGUAGAAAAGCCCAGUGUCUCAAAGAAGAAGAGUUGAAAUGCAGCCUUCCAACAUGUUUUUCUUUUUUGCCAAAGGUGUAAAAAUUUGAAAAUGUCUAAAAUAGUUGGGUUUGGGGAAAAAAGGAUACAUUGCACUUUAGUAGUGCAGAAGCUUAGUUUACAAUGCACUGAUGAAAGACAGUUUUAGGUACUAUUAACUUUUGUUUUUUUUUAAUCUUGUGUUUUGAUGCUUGCUAUUGGGGAAAAAAAAUGUGUCUGUGAUGUGUGAGAAUAUGUGGGAAAUACAGAAUACCUUCUGAAAUGUAGUUCCUAAAAUACAGCUACUGUUGAAUGACACAAAUA